rnacentral:misc_RNA from 1 species
AAGUAGUAACAAGGUUUCCGUAGGUGAACCUGCGACCUUCAUCCUGCUCUUGUAACCCGCGUAGUUCGCAAUCUCUGAUAAAUCAUACCCCGAAAGUUGUAGUGAUUCAGAGACCUCUGGCUACGUGCGAACAUUGGAACAGUUACAAUCGAGCGGUAGUUCUAUAGGCAAUGUUUCCCCAAGCAGUCAGUGUCGGAAAGUGUCAUUGAUUGUGCAAGGAUAGCGCUUCUACGAUUCCUGUAGACCGUACACUCGGGCAGGAGCUUUGCCAAAGGGUCCCCAUGCCCCCUAAUAACCCCACAGUUUAAUGUGAAGCUCAAUGUAAUACAUUGGGUAAAAAAACCGAACAACUGUUAACAAUGGAUAUCUUGGUUCUC